AACGAACGCUGGCGGCAUGCCUAACACAUGCAAGUCGAACGAGACCUUCGGGUCUAGUGGCGCACGGGUGCGUAACGCGUGGGAAUCUGCCCUUGGGUUCGGAAUAACAGUUAGAAAUGACUGCUAAUACCGGAUAAUGUCUUCGGACCAAAGAUUUAUCGCCCAGGGAUGAGCCCGCGUAGGAUUAGCUAGUUGGUGAGGUAAAGGCUCACCAAGGCGACGAUCCUUAGCUGGUCUGAGAGGAUGAUCAGCCACACUGGGACUGAGACACGGCCCAGACUCCUACGGGAGGCAGCAGUGGGGAAUAUUGGACAAUGGGCGAAAGCCUGAUCCAGCAAUGCCGCGUGAGUGAUGAAGGCCUUAGGGUUGUAAAGCUCUUUCACCGGUGAAGAUAAUGACGGUAACCGGAGAAGAAGCCCCGGCUAACUUCGUGCCAGCAGCCGCGGUAAU
rnacentral:rRNA from 1 species